GCCAGCCCCUCGCAGAGCUGCUGCCUGUGGAAGCCAGCUGCCGGUAUCAGGGCAGGGGGAGCAGGGGGUUCAGGAGGGAGGGAGGCAGCCUCCUGCCCCUGGAUAGAGGUGCGCAGCAGCAUGUUGGAGGGAACCUUCAGGGUGGGAGGGAAGCGCCUGGCUCCACAGCCAGCCCUAGCUCUGUCCCGACCCCAGCUCUGCACUCGCUGUGUCUCUGGACUUCAGUUUCCUCAUUUGUAAAAUGUCCCCACCCACAGGCCUGUGGCGAGGCUUGGGCUGGCACACGGAGGAGGCACCACCAGCAGGGCCAAGACCGCCUUUGAUGAGGUGAGGCCUGCGGCACCGGUUCUGCCCUGAAGGCCGGCCACAGCCACGGGGGAGCGAAAGGCCUGUGGGGCGGUGGCCUCCUGUGAGUUCUCAGCUGUCAGGGUGCUGCCAGGCUGCCCCACCACUCAGGGCACUCACAGGGGACUCCUCAAGGGGGUGUGCAGGGGCCACAGUGGCCCUGAGGCGGUGGCGCAGCAGCCCAGCGUGGCACCUGCUGGCCCCAUUAUGAACCCAUAAUGGGAAAGAGCUUCUCGUCACUCCAGCUCACUGUGGCUGCCUGCCUCCCGGACCGCCCCCCGAGGCCCAAUGCCUCCGGCUAGUGAAGUGCCGUCGGGCGAGUGCCCUCCUGCUGUCUGGCCCCGGUUCCCCCCCGGAGGGGCCACCCUGCUCUGGCUUCUUGGCCAAGGGCUCCUGGGCGCCUACCGAGGGGCCCUGGGAUACCUGGGGAACCGUCGCUUGUCCUCGCGCCCCAGAGGCUGAGCGGGGAGGAGUCCUUGGUAGCAGGGUUUGAGGGUGCCCGUCAGCUUGGGUUUCCUGGUCUUGCCCCAUUCUGUGUUCGUCCAUGAACAGGUCUGGUGACCCCAAGGGCCUGCCUCCUUCAGGAGGGCGUGGAGGAGCUUCAGAGCCUGGCACCAUCCUUGGGUUUGCAGAUGGCCUUUGGGGAAGCUGCUGAGUGCAGCCUGGAGACUGUGGGCUUUCCUCAGCCCCAGGUUCAGCACCCUCGGGACCAGGAGCCCAGGCCAGGCCAAGUGCCUUCAGCACUUUCUCCACAUCGUUUCAGAAAAGCCUUUUGAAUGGGGUCAGCAGUGAGCUAUGCCAGAGGACCCCUCUCGGCCUUCCCCAGGAACAGGCCUCCUCCAUCCGCCCCAGCCUGCCCCCACUCUGCUGCCGGCCAUGGGCCUUCCACCCUCAUCAGGGCAAUGGGCUGUGAAGAAAGCUCUGGGCUGCGCGGAUUACAACGAUUACCCUGGACGGCGAGAUCUCCUUCUACCAGUGACCACCCAGACUCUGACUGGUCGAAAUAGAGAGGACUCACUGUCUGGGGCCUCGUUAGAACUGCCGAGGCCACGGCUCUCAGCGCUGCUCCUCAAAUGCCAAGCCCUUCUCUCUGGUGUCAUCAGGGUGACAUAUAGCCGAGGAAAAGGGGGUGGGUGGGCCCUGGCCCCCACCAGGAGGGCUCAGAGAAGCUGGUGUGUGAUCUGAGAUGUCAGAGGGACAAGGGGAAUCUGACUCCUGCCUGUCAGGGCCUCAGACACCCAUCUUGUCACCCAGUGUCUCUCGAGCACAUCCCAGACAGAAGGGUGACUGGAGGCCAGGAGGUCUGCAGCCCUGCUCCUCCACCACGGAGGGGCGUCCAGGCCUCUCUGCCGUCCAAGCAGCAUUCCAAAGCGGCGUCCCGGCCAAGGCUCCGCAGAUCUUCCCCUUGAGUCCGCUGUCUCGCUGGGUCUCAGUCCCAGCUGGGCACCUCAAGGCUGCUGCGAGGAGGCCCCCUAUGAGGAUCCUGGGACUGGCACUGAAUGAGCCAAUUCCUCUAGCUCCGUAAUUGCAGCUGAGCUCCCACAUAGAUAAAAAUCAGUCCUGCAGAGCGGGCAGCCCGCUGGGCACCUCCAUGGGCAUCUAGGUAACGAGAACAGAGCCCGGCCUUCCGAUAUCCCAAGCUCGGGCAUUGUUGCUCCCAGCUCCCACCGGGGGCUCCCCACCGCCUGGCCUGCGAGUCAUGAUUCACUCCAUGUUCGGGCCAGCACUCCUGAUUCCAGCCUCUUCAAGACACUCCGCUGGGGCCCCACCCGAGGGCCAGGUGCGGGGCUUUGUGGUGGCUCCCACUAGCUGGGGUCAGCGCCAGCAACUCCGGUGGCCACAGGAGGUCCUCGGUAAUAGCUGAUGCCCAAGUGUGAGAGAGGGUAUGGGGGACUCAAUGGUGGGCCCCAAAGACAUCCAUCACCGAAUUUUUGGGACUUGUAAAUGACACUUUAUAGGGCAAAUGGGAUUUUGCAGCUGUGAUGAAAUGUUGGCUCCUGAGAUGGGGGCAUUAUCCAGGUGGGCCCCAACGUACCCACAAGAGCCCUCAUGACAGGGAGCCCGAGAGAGAAGGGCACAGAAGAGGGGAAGACGCCAGGCUGACGCACACCAGAGGCUGUGGUGACACAAGGCGGGGACCGAGGACCGCGGGUGGCCUCUCCAUUUUCCAUGGAAAACAUAAGGAAACAGAUUCGCCCCCAGAACGUCCAGAAGGCACCUGCCCGCUGACACCUUGACUUAGCCCAGCGAGACUGAUUUUGGACAUCUGGCCUCCAGAAUCCUCGAGAUCUAAGAGAGUAAAC
rnacentral:lncRNA from 1 species